CAGGGGGUAAAAAAUACACUAUUAAAUAGUCUAGGGAGGUAAUAGGUCCUCAUGAAAGUUUAGUAUCGCAACAGCAAAUUUGACCAAAGUUGAGGAUUGGGUUGUUUGGUAUAAAAAUGCUAUAUUGAGCUUGUUGGAGUCUUUGGAUUUUAAAAAUUGCUUCUUUCAAAUAUAUAUUUGUCCUCCUAGUUUAAGAUAUAAGAUGCAUAUGCUUGACAUGAAAAUUGCAUUUUAGAUUGGAUUAAUAAGUUAGGUUUUCUGGAAAAGACAUAUUUUCAAGUCUCAAUUAGAUUAAUUGUUGUGGUCUGUUUACUGCCUCUCUUAGAUACUUUCCAUUUCUUUGAAAUGUUGGAAUUUGUUAAGCUUUCCCAGCAACUCAUGUUGUGUGAACUCAUGUUUCAAAUUACAUUUCCUCUCACUUUCUAUGUGUUAAAUAUAUUAAGAUAGAUAGAUAUAUGUAUGUUUAGUGUUCUUGCUCUUCUUAGAUGGUUACCUUAACUUUUUUUUAGGUACUCUUAAGUGUUAUGGUAAAAAUUCAAUUGUCCUUUUCCUUAUCUAAUAUUUUGAUAUUCUUAUCGCUUAAGUAUGUGUUUGGAAUUUAUGAUUGUGUUGUUUCUUGGUUUGAAUGUGGAAGAAUUGUGUUAGGUUUGGAAAUUAAUUGUCUUUGUUUGUUUCUGUUGGUUUCUUCCAUUGUUUGACUUAUGUAAAUUGCAUUAUUAUGUAUUGUUUGAGUUUGUUUAUGUUAAUUUGCUAAUCUUUUAUUCCUUUAUUUCUUGGUGCAUGAACACUCUCUCGUUGAGUCCAAUUUGGACUCCCAUCUCAUGCAUUUUCCUCUCUUCGAGUCCUCCUCCAAGUCGUGAAAGAGAAGUUAUUUUUAUUGGGUUAAAAAUUCAAUAAAUGAGGCAGAUUGCAGCGGUCCUAAAGGGCUGAAACUUGAGUAUUUUGGACUUAAAAGCUUGGUAAAAUGACCAGCAGCAGUAGAGACCUCAAAAAGGCCGAAAAAGGAGAAACAAAAUUGGGUUAAAACCCCUAAAGGAUCAAGAGGCAACACAACAAUUUCAGCCCCGAAAUGAUCGAAUGUGGGCUGGAAUUUCCAGUUUUUGACUCACUGUUCAUGUUACUUCCUCUUAUUAUUUUAUUUGUGAUGGCUAACAUUUUCUUAAUCUAGAUGAAAUUCCCAUGGAUCUCUUCGAGUUUAUUUUUAUCAAAGUUUUCUUUAUUAUAAUUGGUAGCAUUUCAAAUUUUCAAAUUCCCAAAACUCAUUUUAAGUUAUGCAAUUUAAGCUUAUUAGAAUAAGGGAUAAGGGUAUGAAAAAUACCUUAACUUUGGUCGAAUUUGCUGUUGCGAUACUAAACUUUCAUGAGGACCUAUUACCUCCCUAGACUAUUUAAUACUGUAUUUUAAACAUACAUAUUUGCCCACGUGGACAUAAAAAAUAAUGCAAAAUUAUAAAUAGUAAUGUGUCCACGUGUGCACAUAUAUACCUUUAAAAUACACUAUUAAAUAGUUCAGGGGGUAAAAAAUACACUAUUAAAUAGUCUAGGGAGGUAAUAGGUCCUCAUGAAAGUUUAGUAUCGCAACAGCAAAUUCGACCAAAGUUAAGGUAUUUUUCAUACCCUUAUCCCUUAUUCUAAUAAGCUUAAAUUGCAUAACUUAAAAUGAGUUUUGGGAAUUUGAAAAUUUGAAAUGCUACCAAUUAUAAUAAAGAAAACUUUGAUAAAAAUAAACUCGAAGAGAUCCAUGGGAAUUUCAUCUAGAUUAAGAAAAUGUUAGCCAUCACAAAUAAAAUAAUAAGAGGAAGUAACAUGAACAGUGAGUCAAAAACUGGAAAUUCCAGCCCACAUUCGAUCAUUUCGGGGCUGAAAUUGUUGUGUUGCCUCUUGAUCCUUUAGGGGUUUUAACCCAAUUUUGUUUCUCCUUUUUCGGCCUUUUUGAGGUCUCUACUGCUGCUGGUCAUUUUACCAAGCUUUUAAGUCCAAAAUACUCAAGUUUCAGCCCUUUAGGACCGCUGCAAUCUGCCUCAUUUAUUGAAUUUUUAACCCAAUAAAAAUAACUUCUCUUUCACGACUUGGAGGAGGACUCGAAGAGAGGAAAAUGCAUGAGAUGGGAGUCCAAAUUGGACUCAACGAGAGAGUGUUCAUGCACCAAGAAAUAAAGGAAUAAAAGAUUAGCAAAUUAACAUAAACAAACUCAAACAAUACAUAAUAAUGCAAUUUACAUAAGUCAAACAAUGGAAGAAACCAACAGAAACAAACAAAGACAAUUAAUUUCCAAACCUAACACAAUUCUUCCACAUUCAAACCAAGAAACAACACAAUCAUAAAUUCCAAACACAUACUUAAGCGAUAAGAAUAUCAAAAUAUUAGAUAAGGAAAAGGACAAUUGAAUUUUUACCAUAACACUUAAGAGUACCUAAAAAAAAGUUAAGGUAACCAUCUAAGAAGAGCAAGAACACUAAACAUACAUAUAUCUAUCUAUCUUAAUAUAUUUAACACAUAGAAAGUGAGAGGAAAUGUAAUUUGAAACAUGAGUUCACACAACAUGAGUUGCUGGGAAAGCUUAACAAAUUCCAACAUUUCAAAGAAAUGGAAAGUAUCUAAGAGAGGCAGUAAACAGACCACAACAAUUAAUCUAAUUGAGACUUGAAAAUAUGUCUUUUCCAGAAAACCUAACUUAUUAAUCCAAUCUAAAAUGCAAUUUUCAUGUCAAGCAUAUGCAUCUUAUAUCUUAAACUAGGAGGACAAAUAUAUAUUUGAAAGAAGCAAUUUUUAAAAUCCAAAGACUCCAACAAGCUCAAUAUAGCAUUUUUAUACCAAACAACCCAAUGGCGAAGAGUAUACAACUUAUAUUUCUAAUUAUAUGCAUUCAAAAGAGGGUAAAUGGAAGGAAGGAAACCAUCCGUAAUUAUAUCGAUCAGCAACUAUAUAACAUGGAUUUCAAAGUUGAAUAAGAAUUAAGUUAACUAGAAGCACAUAUUUCACAUAGAUUUACGAACUCGGCUAAGCGAAGGAAUCAUCUACACAUUUUCUCAAGUAUAUGGAAAUAACCAUGAAGGAAAUAUAAAAUAGGCGAGUUCAAAUAAGUAACUUGAACAAGAUCAUACUUCAUAAGAAAACAGAAAAUAAACUAGCACACCAUAUAUGAUACUCGAAAAAAAUAAAAAAACAUACCUAGCCAUCAAGACACAUAAUAGAAAUAAGCAAUGGCCAUAAUGAAACGCCCUAAACAAAUUUACUUGCUGAACAAAUAAGAGCUAAACUUGGCUAAUCUACAAGAUUAAACUUGGCUAAUCUACAAGAUUAUAGGAAAUACCCAAAACUGAAAAUGACAGGAUAUUAGGAAGAGAAAACUAACUAAGCCAAAAUUAAUUUUUGCUCGGAAUAAACAACAACAACAACAACAAAAGAACACUUCAGAUAAUGAGGAAAAUAACAAUUUAUUUUUCUAUGCUAAAGCAGCUAAUACCAAACAUGAUUACAACGAGCAAAACAUAAUUGAGAGCGCACGAAACAUUGAAAUAAAGAGAAGAUUACCUGGUUCUGGGCAGCGAACCGGACGUCAAGUUUGACGGAGACGACCACCACCUCCUUCAACUCAAACAACCACAAAAGCUACAAAAUUUGAACUAUUGAACCAAGAAUUCCCAAAACAUUUAGGGUACUCUUUGGUCUCCAAAAAAAAUCCUCCUGAACAGUGAAGAGAGAAGGGCUUAUAUAGGACAAUUUCUGAGUCGAAAUUGAGGGGGAAAAUGAUGUGGGACUACUGUAAAUUUUGAAAUUCUUAGAGGAUAAGGUGUGAGCUGUAAUGUACCAUUCUCAACGGAAAAACUGACGAGGGCCGCUUGAUUUUGAACAAGGACGAGCGAGGCGUCAAGAUGCAAACACCUGGCUUCGUACGAGGAUAUUUCUGUACGAGAGGAUAAGGAGAGAGCACGCACUGCUGCUGGGUUCGCUAUUUGCUGUUGGUUCGCGUUUGGUACACGUUUUCUGGGUUUGGGUCGCAAUUCAGGAGAAGAAGACGCGUGAAGGUGUCGUUCUGGGUAUUGUACGCGUAUGUACUGCUGUACUGUUCUUUUGCUGAAAUAAAA
rnacentral:lncRNA from 1 species